UUAAAGCUAGCCUGUCCACCUACCUCAAAUUCAACAUUAUUAACUACCUUGCCCAUUAAUUCCUAACUAAAACAUUUUAUCAUUUUAGUAUGGGCGACAGAACAAAAACUCAGCGCAAUAGACUAUGUACCGCAAGGGAGAGCUGAAAGAGAAAUGAAACAAAUAAUUAAAGUAGUAAAAAGCAGAGAUUAUAUCUCGUACCUUUUGCAUCAUGAUUUAGCUAGAAAAACUAGACAAAGAGAUCUUUAGCCUAUCUUCCCGAAACUAAACGAGCUACUCCGAAGCAGCACAAUUUAGAGCCAACCCGUCUCUGUGGCAAAAGAGUGGGAAGACUUCCGAGUAGCGGUGACAAGCCUAUCGAGUUUAGUGAUAGCUGGUUGUCCAAGAAAAGAACUUCAGUUCUGCAUUAAUUCUUUCAUCACCAAGAAGUCUACCAUAUUAAGGCCAAAUAUAAGAAUUAAUAGUUAUUCAGAAGAGGUACAGCCCUUCUGAACCAAGAUACAACUUUUAAAGGAGGGAAAUGAUCAUAUUUAUUAAGGUUCUCACCUCAGUGGGCCCAAAAGCAGCCACCUGUAAAGUAAGCGUCACAGCUCCAGUUUAACAAAAACCUAUAAUCUAGAUAUUCUUCUCAACGCCCCCUUAUCAAUAUUGGACUAUUUUAUAAAGUUAUAAAAGAACUUAUGCUAAAAUGAGUAAUAGGAGGAUAAACCUCUCCCGACAUAAGUGUACGUCAGAAAGAAUUAAUUCCCUGACAAUUAAACGAACCCAGACUGAGGUUAUUAUACCCUAUUUUACCUUAACUAGAAAACCCUAUUACAAACAUUCGUUAACCCUACACAGGCAUGUCUUAAGGAAAGA
rnacentral:rRNA from 1 species